rnacentral:other from 1 species
AUGUCCUGGACAACAGGAGCCGUCAGGAUGACGGUAGCCAGGAGGCCGGAACGUAACGGAGUUUACGUCACAAGGAAGGCUUCAGGAUGAAGCAGGACACUCAGGACGGAGUUAACGGACACCUCCAGGAUGGAGAAUGAGAGCCCCUCAGAAGAGGCGGCGGGCCAGGAGGCUAAGGAUUGAUCAGGAUGAUACGCGGAUGGAGUUCGCACGGGAAAAGUUGUCACGGAUGAGCAGGGAGCACUAACGUAGCCGGAAAGCUGCAAACGAACCGGGAGCACUGUUUAAUGACAGUGCUCCCUUUUUUUGUG